AGUUCUGACAGAGAUGUGGUAGAAAUUUCAUCCAGGUAAAAAUAGGGAUUAACCCUUAUCACAGUUGAUCCCGUCAGCGUGGCUCUUAACCUCAGGUUGCUGCAGAUGGGGGUCUUCCUUACAAUUACUUACUUUUUUUCCCAGACAAAGUAACCAAAAGGAAGCAGCACCUUAGAGGAGUUUAGUUGCCUUUGUGAGGACAGACCAUAUAUGGGCGUAUUCCGGGGAUGACAUCAAGAAGCACAGGCGUGAAUGGACUUGCCUGCUUGGGUGAAUGACCUCUGUGCACAUGCAGGAUGAUGGAUCAGGCCAAUCCCCAACAGAUGUCUGUUUGCUGAGGACUGAAACCCUGAAACUUAAAGGAUGGAAGGAAUUUGCAGUGAGAUGUCGCCCCCAGAGAGCCUCUGUGUGCACUGAGAGAAUAAAAUCAUCAAACUAUCAACAAUUACAGGACAAAGGUGAGGGGAAAUUAAGCUACUGUAUAUGUGUGUCAUGGAAACAUGAUAGGGAGAGGCAAAUAUUUUCCAUUGUAAUUCCAUUGUAAAACUUAUGAAGCAGGAGGCUUUAAGCAUUCAGUGUUUGUAACAUCCACAUGUGGAAAGGGAGGCUCUGUUUCCAGUGACACGGUUCAGACUAGGGGAAUCCCCUCCCGGGAAUGGCUGAGGAAUCAAAUCCACUCUGGAUCUCACAUUAUUGGAUUUUGUUAGACAUUAAAUGAAAACGCAAGACUAGACUAACAUUAUAGUUCCAGAAAGAUUGCAGAACAGAAGACUAGACACAAAAAAUAACCCAGUGUGUCACAUUAACGGUGACUUAAAAAAAGUCGCCCUUUUACUUCAAUGUUAAAUCAGUGUCACUUCACAAUCACUUCAUCUAUGAUAUCACCCUUUCUCAAAAACUCUGAUGUGUCACAUCCCCAGUUGUAUGGUUUACGAAUACAAAUGAUGAUGUCUGGAUUUUUAAUAAGUAGUUUGUAUUAGUGUCUGAUCACGACCAUAUGUUGGUAAGCAUUAUGCAAUGCUUCAGAACUGCUGUAGUUGCGAUUUCAUUGGCUUAUGAUGACAUGUUUCACUGUUAGUUAUUCUUAGAGACACCCACGAUUGGUUUCUACUACAAAACCCUUAUCUGUAGGGAGGCGAUAAUCUCAGAAAGCAUGACAGCCACAUUUAUUUUUGGUAUCUCUUCCUACCCCCUGCAAUAAUAAACUGCUUUUUGUUCAUGCCCACUCCCUCACUUUGAUGUUAGUAUGGCAUUUGAUCAACACGGCCCCAAGGAAUGCUGGGAAGGCUUUGAGAUUCUGUGGUGACACCAUAAAACAACACAAAGGCAUGUGAGAAAUUGAAAGUCAAAUGCUUGAGCUGAAGGAGAAGGUGAUGACAUAUUGCAUUGUGACUGAUUAUUCUGAAAGUCUAAUUUUGAGAAUGACAGACUGAUAAGAAAAGCGAUUAGUACAUAAACUUUUGACUUUUUUUUAUUAGUAAAAAGUCAAUCAGCAUAGGCGAUGCUCCUGGAGUGAUGACACAACACUCAGAAUUAAUGUGACAUGACCGCAUUUACAGUGAGAACAAUACACUUUGAACACAUCUCUUGUUAUUGUCAGGAAAAUCUGCUUUUUGUUUUCUUUUCCUGUUUCUUUUCUUUUGCUUUGUGGCUUCUUCCCUCUCACGCUCUCUCCUUAUCACGUCCACACACAUGUUGACCUUACAAAUAACUUCGUUAUCACCUUAAAGCACUUUCUAAUUUCUGCCGAUAUUGCACUGCUUACUCAGUUAAUCAGUAUGGCGCCAUUAGUGAUGAAAGUCCAAGUGCCAUGUUAAACAACUGGAAAAUUAAAGACAUUUAUUACCAGACCAGAGAUGCAUCAAACUAGUCACAUCACAUUAAUCACGCCACACAAAUUGAUGCAUCCUGAAUUGCCUCUGUGCUGAAAUUAAAAGAUUGUUAUUAUUAUUUAAUUUUUUUAAUUUUGAUAGCCCCACACUGUAAAUUGUAUUGAUUACAAAAAAAGACUUUGAAAUGUUACAUUAAAACAGGUUAGUUGAUUAACUGUUAAUUGCCAUAUAUGGUGAAAAAUUGUAAAAGUUUCAAGAUUGAAUUAUAUGUAUUGUUAUUGUAAAAUACUGUCCUAUGUAUGCUUUUUGGAAGCAUACACUAUGGAUUGCCAUGUAAUGUAUGAUUAAAAAUAGUAAAAGGACA